rnacentral:lncRNA from 1 species
CUCGUGGUAGCAGACGCAUGUUGUAUGUGAUUUGCAGUGUCCAAUUAAGAAAGUAUAACUUCUAUGCUGCAUAAAAAUUGAAAGCAGCUGAUUCUUAUGUGUAAUCUGUGAAGGUGUCUGUCAGACUGUUUUAAAAACAGCACACUGCAAAUUGGAAUUUACCAAACUAGCAAAAUGCCUUCAGGGGAAUUUUGAUGAGCCUUUAGAAGAAAGGGCACUGUCAGAUAAUUUAAGCAACUCUGAGAAAACAUGCUGCAAAUGCUUUUCUUCUUCUUGUCUCUCGGGGGGGUGUGAGGACGGGCGCCAUUUUCCUGCCACCAGGUCCGCAGCUGCCAGUGCAGCGCCACUGAGGCUGGUGCUCCUGGCUGCUGUGGGAGAGAACAGUUGAUCUACACAGCAACCCUGAGGUGUUUUUUGCUGUUUUAUCAACCCUGUCCCACAACAUCUUCCCUUUUGCCUCACAUGUAUAGCGCCAAAACACGAAUUUUGUUCUAUUGAUCUCAUUCCCACAUCCCAAUCAUGGGGCAGCGGCCUGCACUAUAUAGCCCUCAGGCUGGGGCUGAUCUUGGGACUGCAGCUCCUCGUGCUGCGGCUUCUGCAACUCCAAGCUGUGCUGGUCUGUUCCCCCACGGUGCUGGGACAUGCCUCACCUUCCUUUCCAGCUCCAGCUUGCAGGUCCCUGGCAGAAGCUGUCUUCUACUGAUGUUUAAGCCAAUGUCCGUGUGGGCAGUGCAGGCACUGGAGUCGGGGCACUCGUGAGAAGCAUGACAUUUUAGAGAAGCUGCUGACUGAAGUGGAAUAGGUCCUGGUGCCUGCAUGUCUCUGCUCAUACAGGUACCUAAGGAGACUAUGUGAAUCAGUGCUCAACUCUCCAGCCAUCUUCUGAAGAGGGAAAUGGCUGUCUGCAUGUUUCAGAUUUGACAUUGACAUUGAGCUUGUAGCUUGUCUGCAAAUCACAUCAUUUUGAUGCAAACUAUUCAUUUCAAAUGUAAAAUUCAGGAUGCAAAUUAAAGAUUUAUGACUUUUCUGUCUGUCAGUUUUGAUUCCAUCAUGUAUUCAUUAGUCAUGCCCUACUGUGCUGCCCUGUAACAGUUCUGACUGAUGUUGACCACAGACAUUAUAAAUGAUCCCUU